rnacentral:rRNA from 1 species
AGAGUUUGAUCCUGGCUCAGGACGAACGCUGGCGGCGUGCUUCACACAUGCAAGUCGAACGGGGUCCAUCGGUAGCAAUACUGAGAAGACCUAGUGGCGAACGGGUGAGUAACACGUGAGCAACCUGCCCCGAAGACCGGGAUAACAGUGGGAAACCGCUGCUAAUACCGGAUGCCCCCACUGGAUCGCAUGGUCCGGUGAGGAAAUGGAUUCCGCUUCGGGAGGGGCUUGCGGCCUAUCAGCUAGUUGGUGGGGUAACGGCCUACCAAGGCAUCGACGGGUAGCUGGUCUGAGAGGACGAUCAGCCACACUGGGACUGAGACACGGCCCAGACUCCUACGGGAGGCAGCAGUGGGGAAUCUUGCGCAAUGGGCGAAAGCCUGACGCAGCAACGCCGCGUGAGGGAUGACGGUUUUCGGAUUGUAAACCUCUUUCGAGCAGGGACGAUAGUGACGGUACCUGCAGAAGAAGCUCCGGCCAACUACGUGCCAGCAGCCGCGGUAAUACGUAGGGAGCGAGCGUUGUCCGGAUUCAUUGGGCGUAAAGAGCUCGUAGGCGGCUCGGUAAGUCGGAUGUGAAACCCCCAGGCUCAACCUGGAGCAUGCAUCCGAUACUGCUGUGGCUAGAGUCCGGUAGGGGCCCACGGAAUUCCUGGUGUAGCGGUGAAAUGCGCAGAUAUCAGGAGGAACACCGGUGGCGAAGGCGGUGGGCUGGGCCGGCACUGACGCUGAGGAGCGAAAGCGUGGGGAGCGAACAGGAUUAGAUACCCUGGUAGUCC